rnacentral:lncRNA from 1 species
AGUGUCAUUAUAAUUUGUCAAUUGUCAUCAUUGUCAGUAUGCCUUUAUCUUUUAUCUUUAUGUCAGUAAAAAUGUUUAUCUGAUUGUUAGCUAUAAUAAAAAAUCCUGAUUUAGAUAAAAUGGAUUCAAAUACAGUUUUUUAAACAAAACGAAUGUGAUUUGAAGAUCCCUAGGAAGAUCAAAUUCCUAGCUUACAUUUGCAUGGUGAGUUCAACAAGUAUUUGUUAUUAGAGAACAAGUAACACAGUUAGUGGUGUAGGGAAGCAAACGAAUGUAACACCAAUUGAAAGUCCUUCAACAAGUAGAGAUGCACACAUGUUUCAAUCAUUUGAGAUACCCUUUUGUAGAAGUAUUCGGAAGGUAACUAUUAAUAAUUUCAUUUGUAAAGAUACGAUUUGUAAAAAAGUGUAUACAAAGUGGUUUUGCUGGUAUUAAAUAAAUAAAUAAAAAUAC